rnacentral:rRNA from 1 species
AUGCUGUUGGUUUGUGGGGGUCACGCAGCGGUCUCGAUGAAUGGGGUUGUCAAUCCCUAUUUCAAAAAUGGUCGUGGCAUUCUCCAGGGUGACCCGGCCUCUCCCCUGCUCUUCAACUUUGUAGCCGAUGCCUUUUCCUGUAUCUUGAACCGGGCGGCGGCGGCCCGGCAUAUCCUCCUUGUCGCGUCUCACCUCAUUCCCUCCAGCGUGACCCACUUACAAUAUGCGGAUGAUACUAUUAUUUUUGUGGAAAAUUCGGACCAAUGCUUAGCUAACCUAAAGUUCCUCCUGCUUUGCUUUGAGGAAAUGUCUGGGCUUAAGAUUAACUUCUCUAAAAGCGAGGUGCUGGUUCUGGGUGCUCUAGAGGAG